rnacentral:rRNA from 1 species
UACGGAGGGUGCAAGCGUUAUCCGGAUUUACUGGGUUUAAAGGGUGCGUAGGUGGGUCUGUAAGUCAGCGGUGAAAUCUCCGAGCUUAACUCGGAAACUGCCAUUGAUACUAUAGGUCUUGAAUUAUCUGGAGGUGAGCGGAAUAUGUCAUGUAGCGGUGAAAUGCUUAGAUAUGACAUAGAACACCAAUUGCGAAGGCAGCUCACUACGGAUUGAUUGACACUGAGGCACGAAAGCGUGGGGAUCAAACAGG